CAGCCGCCGCGGUAAUACGAAGGGGGCUAGCGUUGCUCGGAAUGACUGGGCGUAAAGGGCGCGUAGGCGGUUCACGCAGUCAGAUGUGAAAUUCCUGGGCUUAACCUGGGGGCUGCAUUUGAGACGCGUGGGCUUGAGUGUGAAAGAGGGUCGUGGAAUUCCCAGUGUAGAGGUGAAAUUCGUAGAUAUUGGGAAGAACACCGGUGGCGAAGGCGGCGACCUGGUUCACAACUGACGCUGAGGCGCGAAAGCGUGGGGAGCAAACAGGAUUAGAUACCCCUGUAGUCCCUGUCUCUUAUAC
rnacentral:rRNA from 1 species